UACAGAGGGUGCGAGCGUUAAUCGGAUUUACUGGGCGUAAAGGGCGCGUAGGCGGUUAGUUAAGAUAGCUGUGAAAUCCCUGGGCUUAACCUAGGAACUGCAGCUGUGACUGGCUAGCUAGAGUACUGUAGAGGGUAGUGGAAUUUCCGGUGUAGCGGUGAAAUGCGUAGAGAUCGGAAGGAACACCAGUGGCGAAGGCGGCUCACUGGCCCGAUACUGACGCUGAGGCACGAAAGCGUGGGGAGCAAACAGG
rnacentral:rRNA from 1 species